rnacentral:rRNA from 1 species
AACGAACGCUGGCGGCAUGCCUAACACAUGCAAGUCGAACGAGACCUUCGGGUCUAGUGGCGCACGGGUGCGUAACGCGUGGGAACCUGCCCUUAGGUUCGGAAUAACUCCCCGAAAGGGGUGCUAAUACCGGAUAAUGUCUUCGGACCAAAGAUUUAUCGCCUUUGGAUGGGCCCGCGUUGGAUUAGCUAGUUGGUAGGGUAAAAGCCUACCAAGGCGACGAUCCAUAGCUGGUCUGAGAGGAUGAUCAGCCACACUGGGACUGAGACACGGCCCAGACACCUAGGGGGGGAAGCGGGGGGGAAUAUUGGAAAGGGGGCGAAAGCCUAAUCCAGCAAGGCCGGGUGGGUGAUGAAGGCCUUAGGGUUUAAAAGCUCUUUUACCCGGGAUGAUAAGGACGGACCCGGGAAAAAAAGCCCCGGCUAACCCCGU